CAAUUCCCCUAUAAUUGGUAACCUCCUCCUCCUUCUCCUCCCCCCAGAGGAAGACUACUGCCUGUGUCCUGCCAGAUGUCUGCCAUACACAGUGGGGUAUCACCCCAGGGCCCUUGCUUCAGAGCUGAAAGAUUCUCUAUCCAAUAAACCCUUGAUGUCUCUACCUGUGUCUCCAUGCUCUUUCUUGCAACCCGCUGCUGGGCAACUACAAGGCUUGCAGACCUGCAGGGUGCAGCCUAACACGAGGUCAACCUGCACCAACCUGGUGGAACCCUGGGGGGAAACAUAGAGCGGCAGAAGACUCUAGGCCCCAAAUGCCCUAAACCCUCUGCUUCCCAUGCGCAGUCGGGUCUCCAGAGUGCCGCCUGUCCCCUCCCAAACAUAGGUGUCCGAGAAAAGCUGCGGCUGCACGAGUUCCCAUCUCACCACACUCCAAUGGAACAGGCAUAGGAGAACAGCUCUUUCCCAGGGCUGUGACGCUGGGGUUCUGGGAAGUGCCUGUCUCUGUCAGACGCAAGUCCCACGCCUCCUCCAAGCGUGUAGGAGGCGGUGAAAGGCCGAGGAGGCUCCAGGAAACCUCAGACCCGUGAACACAAACCCUCAAAUAACAGCCUGGGACUGACUCCGGCCUGCCAGCCUGCGGGAAGUGUCUUGGCCUCUGGCUUUUUUUUCAUUGGUUAUCGGCUCCGCGAACCGCCCCUCCCGGAGACUGCCGGGAAUUCUCCGCACAGUCACUAGUGCGCAGGCGCAAAGAGUGCUCCCUCGCUUCUUCUAGAGCUAGCUGCUGGGUUUGGAACGGGGCGGUAAAACCUGCCAGGGGCCAGGAUUCCGGAUCCGGCUGGAUGCCAGUGUGCCUGAGUACUUUUCUCAACCAUGUGGUAAUCCUUACUUUCAGUCAUGAGUUAGAGCCUGCCGACUGAUGGAUUUCAGAAGCAACCUUUUCUCUGGGACACCCCCAGAAUUCUAUUCUCUUUGCUGUUUAGUUUCUCCUUAGAGGACUCCUCCAGUUUCCUGCCUGUGAAGGUUAUGUGUUGAGUUGCUGGAGACUGGGACCAGGAUAAGGAAAGAAGCUUAAGAAGAUUUCAGACUGUGGUUAUUACUCAUUCUAACUGUGUCUGUCUGCCCUUCUCUGUGCAUCCUCUACAUCUUCUCAAAAUCAAUUUAUCCAGAGAUCAAAUGUAUUUUAUUAGACAAGGGAGCAAAGUUAACUGUAGAGGGGGAAGAUCAGGGCAAUGAGUUUGUGUAUAAAUUUUCAACCAGUCCUCUACUUCCAGAUCCAUACCUCACCAAGGUCCUUUUCUGUGGAACCUGGGCCUUUCAGGGAAUUUGUAAAUUGCUUAAUUUAUCUCACUCAUAAGCUCUUUCAUACCAGAGUUCCUUGAAUUUUCUUAUUUGUUGUAGUUUUGUCUUCAUAUUUGUUUUU
rnacentral:lncRNA from 1 species